UUGCUCACAACUGCGCCACCGCGCAGACACCCCUUCCACGGGGUCUGUCUCUCCUGAGGCAGCCCAAGGCGAACUUUGCAAGUCGGUGCACGGAACUUUCCAAGUCGGUGGACGGUGGGAAUGGUUUGGAGCCAGCUCUCUGGAGAUGCUUUUGCCCCAUUCCACGUCCUCGCCCGUCCGACACCGGUACGUCCUCCUUUACUGCCCUCCUUUGGAGAGGCUGUACGUGGUGGCGGCUAGAGUUUGGACUCUGGAACCUGCCUUAGCAUCUCGGCUCCGCAGUUUACCAGCCGUGUGACCUGGGGGAAGUCCAACCUCUCCGUGCCUCAGUUGCUCGAUCUGUAGUUACUUCCUCCAGGAGUUGUUGUAAAGAUUAAAUGAACAAUGACACAGGUGCAUUAAACGGUAACAUGACGAACAGGAAUAUGUAUUGCCUGUCCUUCUGUCUUUUCGCGAUAGGGUGCUAACACAAGGAGGUGUGUUCUUCUUUUUACUCUGCCACGGCCCAUUCAUUCGCUAGGAUUGACAACCUGGUGUGCGUUGAUCUUAACCAUAACUCAGUUUCUGAUGGUGUCUUGGAUGUGCAUUGUGCCUUGUAGACUCGAGCUAACGUUACUGCUUCUGUUGCACCCUCGUUGAAACGUCUGUGAAGAAGCACUAGCAGGUUAAGGAUCCCCAACUUUGGAAAAGGAACGUGAUGUGAAACUAGAAUUCUCUGUUUAAAAGGGGCCAAGGCCGACUGCCCCCAAGAUGUGCCACUUUGGUCACGCAGAUCAUGCCGAGCUGAAAACAAUCCAGGCCCAGAAGACGCAGGGAGAAAUUUUGACCUUGCCCCCAAAACUGCCUCAAAGAAAUGAGAUUGGGGACGUGCUCCAGGAAGGGAGCCAUUGCCAUAUUUACCUACAUUAUAAUGUGAAGUAGGUAUGAUAGAGAGCGAGGAAUUCAGCAAGGUCUGGUUGAUCAAAAUCUUCCCUGUGUCCCAUUGCUUCUGGAUGACCCAGUCAACACUUAUUUACCACGUUCGCUCUUUUUCAUUCUUCCUGUGAGCAUUCCUUCCCUUUGUAGUCUCAGACUCCUUCCUCCUCCUUAGUUCAGGGUGACUUCGCACUGCCUGGCUGUCUUUGGAAUCUUAACGUGUGUGUGGAUUCCCUAUGCCCCUGAAAUUAAAUUUGAUUUUCUCCUGUUAA